AAGAGGUGGUUGGGGGGACCAUGGCUGACGUUUUCCCGGCCAGCAACUCCACGGCGUCUCAGGACGUGGCCAACCGCUUCGCCCGCAAAGGGGCGCUGAGGCAGAAGCAUGUGCACGAGGUGAAAGACCAUAAAUUCAUCGCCCGCUUAUUCAAGCAGCCCACCUUCUGCAGCCACUGCACAAACUUCAUCUGGGGGUUUGGGAAACAAGGCUUCCAGUGCCAAGUUUGCUGUUUUGUGGUUCACAAGAGGUGCCAUGAAUUUGUCACUUUCUCCUGCCCGGGUGCGGACAAGGGACCCGACACUAAUGACCCCAGGAGCAAGCACAAGUUCAAAAUCCACACCUAUGGGAGCCCCACCUUCUGCGAUCACUGCGGGUCACUGCUGUAUGGACUUAUCCAUCAAGGGAUGAAAUGUGACACCUGCGACAUGAAUGUUCACAAGCAGUGCGUAAUCAACGUCCCCAGCCUCUGCAGAAUGGAUCACACGGAGAAGAGGGGGCGAUUCACCUGAAGGCUGAGGUCACCGAUGAAAAGCUUCACGUCACGGUACGAGAUGCAAAACAUCUCAUUCCUAUGGAUCCAGAUGGGCUUUCGGAUCCCUACGCGAAGCUGAAACUUAUUCCUGAUCCCAAGAACGAAAGCAAACAGAAAACCAAAACCAUCCGCUCCACACUGAACCCCCAGUGGAACGAGUCCUUUACAUUCAAAUUAAAACCUUCAGACAAAGACCGACGACUGUCUGUACAAGUCUGGGAUUGGGAUCGGACGACAAGAAAUGACUUCAUGGGAUCCCUUUCCUUUGGCCUUUCGGAGCUAAUGAAAAUGCCAGCCAGUGGAUGGUACAAGUUGCUUAACCAGGAAGAAGGUGAGUACUACAAUGUGCCCAUUCCGGAAGGGGACGAAGAAGGAAACAUGGAGCUCAGGCAGAAAUUUGAGAAAGCCGAGCUUGGCCCUGCUGGGAAUAAAGUCAUCAGUCCUUCGGAAGACAGGAAACAACGUUCCAACAACCUUGACAGAGUGAAGCUCACCGAUUUCAAUUUCCUAAUGGUGCUGGGGAAGGGGAGGUUGGGAAAGGUGAUGCUUGCUGACAGGAAGGGAACAGAAGAACUGUACGCGAUCAAAAUCCUGAAGAAGGACGUGGUGAUUCAGGAUGACGACGUGAAGGUAUGGUGA